rnacentral:rRNA from 1 species
GUGUCAGCAGCCGCGGUAAUACGGAGGGUGCAAGCGUUAUCCGGAUUCAUUGGGUUUAAAGGGUGCGCAGGCGGGACUUUAAGUCAGUGGUGAAAGCCCGAGGCUCAACCUCGGAACUGCCAUUGAUACUGAAGUUCUUGAAUGUAGUUGAUGUGGGCGGAAUGUGCCAUGUAGCGGUGAAAUGCUUAGAUAUGGCACAGAACACCGAUCGUGAAGACAGCUCACAAAACUAUUAUUGACGCUCAGGCACGAAAGCGUGGGGAUCAAACAGGAUUAGAUACCCCCGUAGUCC